GCCACGGUGGUCUAGAGGUUAGAACGCUGGGCUUGUAAUCCUGGGGUCUCGGGUUCGAUUCCCGGCGGUGCCC
rnacentral:tRNA from 1 species